UGCAAGUCGAGCGCACCCUUCGGGGCGAGCGGCGGACGGGUUAGUAACGCGUGGGAACGUACCCAAAUCUACGGAAUAGCCUCGGGAAACUGAGAGUAAUACCGUAUACGCCCUUCGGGGGAAAGAUUUAUCGGAUUUGGAUCGGCCCGCGUUAGAUUAGGUAGUUGGUGGGGUAAUGGCCUACCAAGCCUACGAUCUAUAGCUGGUUUUAGAGGAUGAUCAGCAACACUGGGACUGAGACACGGCCCAGACUCCUACGGGAGGCAGCAGUGGGGAAUCUUAGACAAUGGGCGCAAGCCUGAUCUAGCCAUGCCGCGUGAGUGAUGAAGGCCUUAGGGUCGUAAAGCUCUUUCGCCAGGGAUGAUAAUGACAGUACCUGGUAAAGAAACCCCGGCUAACUCCGUGCCAGCAGCCGCGGUAAUACGGAGGGGGUUAGCGUUGUUCGGAAUUACUGGGCGUAAAGCGCACGUAGGCGGACCAGAAAGUUGGGGGUGAAAUCCCGGGGCUCAACCCCGGAACUGCCUCCAAAACUCCUGGUCUAGAGUUCGAGAGAGGUGAGUGGAAUUCCGAGUGUAGAGGUGAAAUUCGUAGAUAUUCGGAGGAACACCAGUGGCGAAGGCGGCUCACUGGCUCGAUACUGACGCUGAGGUGCGAAAGUGUGGGGAGCAAACAGGAUUAGAUACCCUGGUAGUCCACACCGUAAACGAUGAAUGCCAGACGUGCAAGUCGAUGCAAGUCGAUGCAAGUCGAUGCAAGUCGAGCAUUCCG
rnacentral:rRNA from 1 species